UGGCCUGAGCCCCGAUGGAGCCCCGCUCGCCUAACCCCAGGAGCCACCCGUAAACUGCUGAUGGAAUUUGCUGGCAAUGCCCACAGAGAGCAUCCAGAAGAAGCAAGCGCAGGCGGACAGAAGAGGGCGCCAGAUCUCAUUCCAGAUGGCUGUGAGUCACCAUGUGGUUUCUGGGAAUUGAACUCAGGACCACUGGAAGAGCAGCCAGUGCUCCUAACCUCUGAGCCAUCUCUCCAUCCUGAAAAUGAAUAUUCUUGAUAGUUACUCUCUUCCUUCUUCCUGCCUGAAAGGACAUCAUGAAGGCUGGAAUUGCAAGCUGUCUUGGAUCAUGAGAACUUGUUGACGACAAAAGAUGUCUGCAGGUGGACAAGUCAGAAGUCACAGACCUUCACCUGUGAGAGAAAACCAUCUGAAGGCACUUGCAUGUUAGCAUUUCACGGUAACUCGGGGGACUAUAGCAUCGGGAGUCAGAGUUGGGAACUGAGAGGCCCUGACUUUUACAUCAUCCUGUGCCCCAGAGCCAGAGUCCCCGGAGCACCGCAUGUGACAGAACGCCUUUCUGUGAGAAUCCUGAGCUCACAGUCUGUCUCAUCUCCUCCUCAUACCAAAGCUCCUGUCAGAUGAGGGCAGCUAACGAGGGGCAGCUACCCAGGCCCUGGACCCAGUUCUAAACUCAUGUUCUCUCCAUCCCUCUGUACACUGUUUGCCGGUCAAUCCCUGGGGCUGCUGUGUAAUGGAAUGUGUGCCUUUGCCCCCCGCCCCUUUUGCACAUACGCAUGCACAUGUACACGCACACACACCUUUCAAAUUCCUACCAUGUUCGGGGAACAAAGUUCAAAUUUCAAUGCCUCUGUAAAGGAUUUUCAGGAUUAUAAAGUAUUAGGUCACAGAUCCUCUGGCUGCUGUACUUUCCCUGCAGAUUGAGCCAUGCCCACCCCACCCAACCCACCAGCCACCUGUACACAGCUCUUACACACUACUAUGGCACAGCACAGUCCACCUCUCCUGAUUCCCUGUAGUACACCUCCUCUAUGUCAAACUCUUAGCUGCUCAACUUACUAGACUCCCAGAUUCUUCCAGUCCACCAAAACCACUUCCCUGCAAGCUUCCAAAGGACUCCACCCAGAUUCCAGCUUGCUGACCCACACAUAGCCCCUGGGAUUGUUCAAGCUACUUUGCUUAUGGGCUUAGGGGUGGGGACAGUGCCCAGCCUGCCUGAAUUUGUGUUCCCACAGAUCGUGCCCUAUAAUCAGGAACAAAGGAGGAAAACAGCACAGAAAUGAGCCUCUUGGCUUCUCUUCCGCAGAAGGGAGGACCCACAGCGUGCUCUCUCUCCAACCCCCGGAAGCAGCUUGUGGGGCACUCAGCUGUGACAUCCAUUGACCCACAAAUCAGAAAAUUAGCCUUGAGAGGGUGGGAAUUCGCUCCAACUUGGCAUUGCACCUAUUAGCGCUAUGCAUCUGAUACUGAGCAGUGCAGGCUCCAUUAAAGGAAUUACCUGGCAGCCGGUAUUUCUGAAAUGAAUUAUAAAUCACUUCCUGCUAUUUUAAAAAUGGAGUUAUUACUCCACAAGGCUUGGGAGCCACUGUUGGAAUUUUAUUUCCACCAUCCUCAAGGCCUAUAUGAGGGGCAGGUAAGUUCUGCCCAAGGCCGGCUGGCUUUUCCAAAGAAUGAAGAAGGGAGCCCUGCAUCUCUUGCCUGUGUGACCGAGGGGCAGCUCCAGCCCACGUGUGGCUUCAAAGCGCAUGCAGGAGCUGGAAGGGGAGGGUCCCACAGCAAAGCCGUGCUCUGCAAACACAAACCCAGACUGCUUCUUUUCUGGUCCAGCCUUGGAUCUGGGUCUGGUCCCAUCUCAUCUCUUUCAGCACCCCUGGAAAAUCUGGCCAAGUCCACAUAGGCUUCACUUGUGUAGGCUAGACCUUGACACAAGCAACCACAGAGAGGCAAGCCAGAAGGAAGCGGAGAUGAAGACUUGACCACUUCCAGGCCACAGCUGUCCCAGCACACCUGCCCUGGGGUCCUUUCUCAACACAUCUGUGCCGACACAUGCCCCAGAUCCCUGCCUGUCCUCGCACCACUGCCCGGAAACCCUGCCCUGGCAGGCUUGUUCUAACAUUCCCACUAUAGGAUUUCUUCAAAAGUAUACCUGUGCCAACACAGCUACUCUAGAUCAGCUGUCCCAGAGUACCUGCCUUAGUACAGCAACCCAGAGAGCAGACAAGGCUCUUGGUCCUCAUCUGUCAUCUAAAAACUCAGGCGGCAACACUCUGGGAUUCUCUGGCCUAAGGCAUGUAAGUUAGUGCUGCAAGAGCAAGCAGGUGAGUACGCAUGGUAAUUUGUUCAAACAUGCAUAUGGGAAGGAGCAUAGACCAGCAGCCCUGAUACCCUCAAACCUCCCUGGUGAUGGGUAGAGGGACCAGCUUUCUCAGCCUUACUUUGCUUAGCUGAGUUGCUUCCUCCACCCACGGUGUUCUUUAUAAAGCAUAGUGCGCCUCCUCUGCAUAGGUAUUUUCUGAUGCACUGUGCUUCUCUCGGGAAUAGCCUCCCUCUUGCACAUGCCAAGAACAAGCGCCAUGGCCUGCCUCCCAGUUCCUGUGGUCCUUGAACUCAGCUCAGUGUGUGGCAUGUGGCAGGUGCUCAACACAUGUUAGAGUAAUGGCGACAGAUGCUCCCAGCCCCGCCUGCCCUGUGCUUCGUCUCAGCCCAACCAGCAAUGACGUUUCAGGCCCCAAGCCCCACCACCUCAUUCUGGGACCACUGUCACUGAAGACGUGGAAGAAAGGGAUGCUGUUUUCAUGCACAUGUCUCUUUGAUCCUCAUAUGUCCCCAGCGGCUUUGCAGGUUGGGAUUAUUUUCCUAGAAAUUUCACCGGGAUGUUUCAGUAGCUACUCAGCUUUAGUAUGGGAAGAGGAUGCAUCUUGACUAGGUAACUCUUAAAAGAUGUGUUGGGUUGCCAUGUAAACUGGCAUGGAAUUGGUCUCAAAAUGAAGCCCCUGAAGCUUGCCUCAGUGUGGGCAGGAUUUGUGUGUCCCUGGUCACCCCGAGGGAGGCAACUGAGUCUGCAAGAGGCCAUCUUUGGGCUCUUGAGUGUGAUCCUAAAAUGUCCUCCAGCAAAAGACUUGAUGAAGGUGAAUGUUGAUUAUGACUUUGGAAAGAGAGCUUCCAUGUGACUUGAGGACAGGCAGGCAUAUUUCACGGUCAGUUCUGUGACUGGUACCUGAGAAAAGUGGGACAUCGUAUGCAUCUCCUCAUUCUCAUGGCGGACGAGGCUCAAGGAAGACUGCCAUGACGACCCCAGUCCAUUCCUGACCCCUGACUCAGAUGACCUCUGGAGCAGGUGGCCCUUCGAUGGCCUCAACGAUUCCCAGAGUUACUCAUGGCCUCAGCUUAUCUGGCUAUCCACUAGGAUAGACACAGAGAUACUUGGAACCUCAGCCUUUAAAGCUGGCUCGUUCCUCCUAGGGACGCGUGGCUGUGGAGCUUGGUCUGUGAUUACGCAUCUCACAUCUUCCUACUUCCCUCAACGCUUCAGGGCUCAUAGAUUACUUUUUACUGAUUCAUUCUUUUUCUUUUUUUUUUGGUUUUUCGAGACAGGGUUUCUCUGUGGUUUUGGAGCCUAUCCUGGAACUAGCUCUUGUAGACCAGGCUGGUCUCGAACUCACAGAGAUCCACCUGCCUCUGCCUCCCAAGUGCUGGGAUUAAAGGCGUGUGCCACCACCGCCCAGCUGAUUCAUUCUUAAUAUCAGAUAUUGGUUGAAUUUUUUUCCUUUCAUUAGUGAUGCUCUAACCAGGAAACAAUGAUUUUCAUUUAGAGUACGGGCACAGUUAUGGAUGUCGGCAUUAGAAGGCUUGGGGUCCUGCUUUAGCUACUAUUACCUGGCCGAGUGACAUUGUAUGUUACUAUUUCGGUCCUUGCUUUCACACCAGCAAAAUGAGAGUUAAGCUAGUCUCUUGUCUUUGAUUCCAUCUAGACUCAAGUCCCAUGGAGUGCAGACACAAUAGCGCUGGCUUCAACACCCCCUGCUGGUGGGCACAUGAACUGCUUGACCAUCUUCCUAACAAUGGCUGGUUAAUGUAGCAAUUUUUAUUGUCUGGCAGAAAUGAAACACUAACGGGAUGUUCUGGAGAGAUGGAUCUACUGCUUUAAAACUGACUGCAAUCAGCCCACAUCAGAAGCUGCGCACGGCCCCUUGUGAGCAUGCUCAUCAGCAGUCUUCUCAGACCUCUGAGGGAUGUGCCAAAGACCUCUGAGGGAUGUGCCAAAGGAUGCACGCAGGGCUUGGGAACCACAGACUGGGAGGUGGGGGUUAGCAUACACCUUUGAACAUCCAUCUCUAAUAGCAAACCGGCGGUGUGGCACAGAUAUCUGAACCCGGGACCAACUAACAGUCAGCACCCCAAUCAUCGCGGGGCUGGGAGAGCAGUGCCUGUUGGGAGGCUCUGGUCUUAUUCCUCUUCCUGCAAACAGUCUUCGUGGUUGCUGUUAUCACCGUUUCUAGAUCGGCUCUCAUGUCUUCUGCCCCGGAGAUGGUGUUUAUUGAUACCAAACAACGCUCCAGCUGCUACGCAGAACAUCUGUGCAACAGCUGCUGGACCCCGUCUGAGAUUUUUGUAAUCGUUUGGGGAUGAUUCGCGAGCACAGCACAUACAGUACAUGUUCCGCUACCCAAGAGGAUUUGAGAUAAUUGGAAAUUUCAGGCUGUUUAAGGCAGUUGUUGGGUAUGGGUCCAGGAGGGAAGGAUUUCUGGUUUAGGAGUAUGUGCGGAUCAACUGGAACCGUGUGUAACUGUCACAAAGAUCUGUGUACAGAUUCCCCCUCCUGCCACCUCCACAAAACCACCAUUGUUCUGGAAAAGGGUGCCUUCCUAGGGUCCCUUAAGUUGGGCAUCGGAAGGGUUGGUUCCCUAAAUUCCCUCCAUAAAUGCUGCUGCCCUGCAGCUAAAGGGGGUGGCAGAUUGGCAGCCAGAGCCGGGGGCGACGAGAAGGAAAGAAUAAUACUGUAGAAUACUAUGCUCCCACAGUGACGGACAUCCUGUUCAUACCUUAGAACUCCCAUAUGUCUUCCUCCUUUGUCCUCUAAAUAUAGAAUAAAAAAUACCCUACAUUUGUUGCUGGAGAACAAGCUCAGGAGGACUCGGGACUUGCUCAAAGCCAGAGAGCAAACCAGUUUUCUUAAUCCAAUUGGGUUGCUAUGAUAAAAUACCAUAGGUGGCUCAACUCAGAACAACAGAGAUGUUCACUGCACAUGCCUAGAGGGAAGGAAACCCAAGACUAAGGACCAGCAGAUUGGAGGCUGGUAAAGGAUCAUUUCAUGCUCCAAAGACUGUAUUUAUUUUAUUUUUUAAAAUUACUUAAGUUAGUUCUUUCUUGCCUGCCUUUAUUUCCUCCCCAUGCUUAUCCUCCUCCUC